rnacentral:sRNA from 1 species
UUUGUAUUGUACCACAUAUCGUUUUUACCAUUAAUACAUUGUUCAGUACUGUGUGUUUCGCACUAAUCGCACUUGUUCCACAUACUUCGUUUUAGUCAAGCGCAUCGUAAAAAACCCGCACCGCGCUUCUAUAACCGCUUGUCCCGCAGUCUCUGAAAAACUGAUACCAUUCAAAGCCUAAUUAAUUUUGUGUGAUGGUUUUAGAUAGUUUACCCGCACUAUAUGUAGGGGUGUCAAAAUGGGUAACCCAACUCAACUCAACUCAUAAUCAAAUGAGUUGAGAGUUAAAUGAGUUAUGGGUUGACCCAACUCAUUUUGUUAUAUGGAUUGGGUCAACCCAUAACUCAUUUAAUUUGACGGGUUGAAAUGUUAAAUGGGUUAACCCAUUUAAGUAAUAAUUUAAUUAAUUAUUAUUAUAAAACAAUAAUAAAUAAUUAUUAAUUCAUUAUCAUCAAACUAUAAAUAUUUACGGAUUCCACUUUUUACGGAUUUACGUUUUCGGAAGGAAAAUUACGGGUUUAUAUUUUUGGUGGAAAAUCACAGGUUUACGUUUUUGGCGGGAAAACGGGUUUACGUUUUUGGCGGGAAAAUUACAAGUUUUAGUUUUUUGGUGGGAAAAUUGUAGGUUUACGUUUUCGGAGGAAAAAUUACGGGUUUAUAUUUUUGGCGGGAAAAUCACGGGUUUACGUUUUUGGCGGGAAAAUCACUGGUUUAUGUUUUUGGCGGGAAAAUUACAGGUAUAAGUUUUUUGGCGGGAAAAUUACAGGUUUACGUUUUUGGAGGGAAAAUUACGGGUUUACGUUUUUGACGGGAAAAUCACGGGUUUACGUUUUUGGCGGGAAAUUCACGGGUUUACGUUUUUGGCGGGAAAAUUACGGGUUUACGUUUUUGGCGGGAAAAUCACGGGCUUACGUUUUUGGCGGGACAAUCACGGGUUUACGUUUUUGCGGAAAAAUCACGGGUUUAUGUUUUUUGGUGGAAAAAUUACGAGUUUACUAUUUCUCAAUUUCAUCGCUUGUAUAUUUAAGAAAUUUGGAAAAAUAUUAAUUUUAUUAAAUUGGUUUAGAUGUGUUGGUUAAACUUAAAUUGACAUUGGUUUAGAGAUUUUAGUUGGUUUAACUCUAUUUUACAAAACUUGAUGGGUUAAUUGGGUAAACCAUUGAAACCAUUAACCAUUACAAUCCAAGUCAUUUUACUCAUCAAACCAAUUGACUCAAUAACUCAUUUGACUCAUCAACUCAUUUGAGUCAAAAUUUUCAACUUAUUAGGGUUCAUUGGUUGAGUUGAGUUGAGUUGACCCAUGAAUUUUGACUCAUUUUUACACCCCUAACUAUAUGUAAGAU